rnacentral:rRNA from 1 species
AAGCCCAAAGGUCGGCAUUGACCAGAGGGAAAAGGAGCAAUCCGCUUUGAGAUGGCCUCGGGUCCGAUUAGCUAGUUGGUGAGGUAAUGGCCCACCAAGGCAACGAUCGGUAGCCGGACUGAGAGGUUGAACGGCCACAUUGGGACUGAGACACGGCCCAGACUCCUACGGGAGGCAGCAGUGGGGAAUAUUGCACAAUGGGGGAAACCCUGAUGCAGCGACGCCGCGUGGAGGAAGAAGGUCUUCGGAUUGUAAACUCCUGUUGUUGAGGAAGAUAAUGACGGUACUCAACAAGGAAGUGACGGCUAACUACGUGCCAGCAGCCGCGGUAAAACGUAGGUCACAAGCGUUGUCCGGAAUUACUGGGUGUAAAGGGAGCGCAGGCGGGAAGACAAGUUGGAAGUGAAAUCUAUGGGCUCAACCCAUAAACUGCUUUCAAAACUGUUUUUCUUGAGUAGUGCAGAGGUAGGCGGAAUUCCCGGUGUAGCGGUGGAAUGCGUAGAUAUCGGGAGGAACACCAGUGGCGAAGGCGGCCUACUGGGCACCAACUGACGCUGAGGCUCGAAAGUGUGGGUAGCAAACAGGAUUAGAUACCCUGGUAGUCCACACCGUAAACGAUGAUUACUAGGUGUUGGAGGAUUGACCCCUUCAGUGCCGCAGUUAACACAAUAAGUAAUCCACCUGGGGAGUA